UACAGAGACUGCAAGCGUUAUUCGGAUUCACUGGGCGUAAAGGGUGCGCAGGCGGCCGUGUGUGUCAGGUGUGAAAGCCCGGAGCUUAACUCCGGAAUUGCGCCUGAAACUACAUGGCUAGAGCAUUGGAGAGGGUAGCGGAAUUCACGGUGUAGCAGUGAAAUGCGUAGAUAUCGUGAGGAACACCAGAGGCGAAGGCGGCUACCUGGACAGUUCCUGACACUGAGGCACGAAGGCCAGGGGAGCAAACGGG
rnacentral:rRNA from 1 species